rnacentral:rRNA from 1 species
UGACCUCGGAUCAGGUGAGGAUACCCGCUGARUUUAA